CUAUUUACAAACAUGGCUUAGUGGGCACGGUGGUGAUGGUCAGCAGCUGCAGUUGAUUAUCUGAGUGGUCUUUUCCAACCUUAAUGAUCCUAUGACUGUCCUGUGACUCUGGAAAUAAAGGAUAAAUUGAGGCUGUUACAGUCAACUUGCAAAGGACCCUGCAGCACAAAUUCAUGCUCCUAAACAUAACCAGAUCCAGGUUAGUAAUUAGCACAAUUCACUGAGCAUCGUAGGUGCAUAGUGGGAGCUCUGAAACAACUACAGGAUCUGACAGCUCUCUGGUUUGCAGGCACAGCUGGAUUACUGCUCUGUGCCUUUGCUGGGGGUUCUGUUACUGCAAGAACUUUGGGAAUUGGGGCAAAAUCCUCAGAACUCAUCUUCUGCUUCAGAAGUGGGGACCCCAAAUUCAUAGAGGCAGCCCGGGGUCCACUCCAAUGUGAACACACAAAAGUCACUUUAUCAUCCUUGACUCACUUUCUCCUUCUCCGAAGUGGCAGCAGUGUUCCAGUGCCUCUGGGGGAUGACAAAUGUUCACAAAGGGCUUUAGGGCUCCUGAAUGGAUACAAUCCUUGCUGUGCCCCCCUGCUGUCACACUCAGGUCAGGAAGCAGGCAGGAGGAACAUUUUCAGCAUGGUUUUGGGGCUGACACUCAGCCUGGGGAGGUGCUACAUGCAGAACGUGAUAAAUCACAGCUUUUGCUGAACGCUGCCGGGGGAAAUCUGGAGCACUGUGUCCAAGCUUGUCAGGCUGUGAUACUUCAGGAAGGAACAGAGUCGUGUCUUCCAGGAGCCAGAACUCUCCCUCAAACAGGCAGCACAGGAUGAAUGGAGGGAAGAGGAGGCUGCCUAACUGCUGAAGGAGGAUUCCUGGAGUGAUCUAAUAGCAGAUGAAAGCAGCCAGGUAGGAGCUGCUGCUCCCCGGGAAAGAAUGGAUCUCACUGCUGGGGCUGUGGAUGUACUGAGGUCUCAUGGACAUUGUGUGCCUAUGGGAUGAGUGAAAUGGCAGGAGUUAAGGGGAAAAACAACAGCUCUGGACACCUGGUUUCCCCACCGCAGUGUGGAUUUGCCUCAGUAUAAGCUGUCUCUAUCUGCUGUAGGACUAUGGCACUACUGAGAGCAUCCUCUGUAUAUCAGAAGCUGUGUUGGCUACCACCCCUGCUGGAUGCUAUGGGCUGAAGGUUUCUGUUGGCUCUUUGUAGACCUGGGUCAGUUUCAGACUGUGACACUGUUAAAACAUGAUCCACUUGGGGUAUUCUGUGAUUCUCUGAUGGCUGGUAAAUUAAUCAACGACUGGUGGAGAUCCUGCUCCUUGUCUUCAUGGCUGCAGUGAUGCUCCAUGAUGGAGCCCACCUGCACUGCCAGCUGCAUGACCAAAAAGUGUCAGCUCCAAUGGGCCAUAAUGAACCUGUCCCCCAGCCCUCUGUGUCCCACAGGUCUGGGAAUGCACAGCCCACAAGCAGGGCCCUGUCUCAGUCUCCUGAUCUGAAGUCCUGAUUUAUGACACCAGCCCUGCCUGUCAACAGGUUGGUUCUGAUAGCAAGCAGCUAACAAGCUGCUCUGCAUGCUGAUUAAGCACGCUUGUCAGCCAGUGCCUGGGCGAUGACUAUCACAGCUACGCCAUGGUUGGGAUCACACCUCUUGAUCCACAACCCCCACAGAACCAAGGGAAUGCAGAGCUGUGACACGAAAGCACAUAUCUUGGUGCCAGCCCAAUCUGCAAAGCUAUUGUUCACAUCAUAGUGACCCACGGCAGCCCCCACAAAUGGGAAAAGCCCCAUCAGACAGUGUUCCUCCCACUGCUGCCCUGGCCCUGUUCCCCCCUACCAAGACAAGAAUGCAGCUUAGCAAAACCAAGGAGAGAACAAAGCAGAAAAGAGCAGUUUUGUAUUAUUUUUCUUUUCUUUUUCUGGGCCAUUUUGAAUUAAUUAAGGAAUGUGAUCUAAACUAUAAAUACUCUCCUUCACGUAU